UGGGGAAUCUUGGACAAUGGGCGAAAGCCUGAUCCAGCCAUGCCGCGUGAGUGAUGAAGGCCUUAGGGUUGUAAAGCUCUUUCGACGGGGACGAUAAUGACGGUACCCGUAGAAGAAGCCCCGGCUAACUUCGUGCCAGCAGCCGCGGUAAUACGAAGGGGGCUAGCGUUGUUCGGAAUUACUGGGCGUAAAGCGCACGUAGGCGGACAUUUAAGUUGGAGGUGAAAGCCUUGGGCUCAACCCAAGAAUUGCCUUUGAUACUGGAUGUCUCGAGACCGGGAGAGGUGAGUGGAAUUCCGAGUGUAGAGGUGAAAUUCGUAGAUAUUCGGAAGAACACCAGUGGCGAAGGCGGCUCACUGGCCCGGUUCUGACGCUGAGGUGCGAAAGCGUGGGGAGCAAACAG
rnacentral:rRNA from 1 species